CAAUCUAAACCACCUAUAUGGCAAAGUAAACAUGUACACCACAAUAACCGCAGUAUUACAAGAAAGUUGUGGAAAGAAAUAAAAGAACAAUUUCCUGAAAGUGAAGGAAAACAACUGCGCAAGAAGUGGAAAAAUCUUCGUGAUCAGUUUCGAAAAGAAAAAAAGAAAUUCCCUACUCCGCGAUCUGGUGACGGUGGUGACGAUAUAGAGAGUACCUGGCCAUACUUUCAACUUAUGCAAUUUAUAAACGAUGACAUAACACCCGAACCCAUGACGGGAAAUCUGCAUGAUAGCGAUUCGGAAUCCAUUAACGAGUCCUCUCAUAAUACUGAGGAGACAUUCACUAAUGUGACUAGUCCAGGUUCAUCAACCAACAGUCGCUCAAAUGCGCCAAAGCGCAAAACUGCCUCAGAUUAUAGAGAUGAGCUUAUAGAAUGCGAACGUAAAAAAAUUUAUCUAAUAGAACAGAAAAUGAGCUCUACUCAUGAGCAGCUGGAGAAAUGUGACGAUUAUCAUUUUUUCAUGAGUCUCCUACCUCAAAUGAAGCAAUUUAGUGAAUUACAGAAGUUACGAAUUCGAAAUAAAAUGUCCCAAGUCAUAAUAGAUGAGACAGAAAGGAUGCAGUUUUCUUCUCAUCAGGGGUUCGAGGACAAUUAUAGAGGAGGGUAUUCUACCGGAAACUACAAUAAUUAUUAACUUUAUGAUUACCAACAGCUUUUAACACAACUGACAGAAUUAAUUUCUAGAUAAAUAAAAAAUUAUAAUUAUUUAAA